rnacentral:rRNA from 1 species
GUGAGGAAUUUUUCGCAAUGGGGGCAACCCUGACGAAGCAACACCGCGUGGAGGAUGAAUGGCUUUUGCUUGUAAACUCCUUUUUUGAGGGAAUAAAUAUGAAUGUACCUCAAGAAUAAGCGACGGCUAACUACGUGCCAGCAGCCGCGGUAAGACGUAGGUCGCGAGCGUUAUCCGGAAUUAUUGGGCGUAAAGAGUUCGUAGACGAACUGUUAAGUAGAAUGUUAAAUACCAGGGCCUAACCCUGGGAGUGUGUUCUAAACUGGCAGAAUAGAGUAAUGCAGAGGCAAGUGGAAUUCUGUGUGUAGGGGUAAUAUCCGUAGAUAUACAGAGGAACACCAAAAGCGAAGGCAGCUUGCUGGGCAUUUACUGACGUUCAAGAACGAAAGCGUGGGGAGCAAACAGGAUUAGAAACCCCUGUAGUCC